rnacentral:rRNA from 1 species
UACAGAGGGUGCAAGCGUUGUUCGGAAUUAUUGGGCGUAAAGCGCGUGUAGGCGGCUUUGCAAGUCGGGUGUGAAAGCCCUCAGCUCAACUGAGGAAGUGCGCCCGAAACUGCAGAGCUUGAGUGCCGGAGAGGGUGGGCGGAAUUCCCCCAAAGUAGAGGUGAAAAUUUCGUAGAUAGGGGGAGGAACACCGUGGGCGA